rfam:Synechococcus phage S-CAM9 isolate 1109NB16, complete genome.
GGGUCAGUAGCUCAGAUGGAUAGAGCAAUUCACUUCUAAUGAAUUGGUCGGGGGUUCGAGUCCCUCCUGACUCG